rnacentral:rRNA from 1 species
CCCGCUGAACUUAAGCAUAUCAAUAAGCGGAGGAGAAGAAACUAACAAGGAUUCCCCUAGUAACUGCGAGUGAAGCGGGAAAAGCUCAAAUUUAAAAUCUGGCGGUCCUUGUGGCCGUCCGAGUUGUAAUUUAGAGAAGUGUUAUCCGCGCUGGACCGUGUACAAGUCUCCUGGAAUGGAGCGUCAUAGNAGGUGAGAAUCCCGUCUUUGACANCGACUGCCAGGGCAUUGUGAUACGCUCUCAAAGAGUCGAGUUGUUUGGGGAUGCAGCUCCAAAUUGGUGGUAAAUUUCAUCUAAAGCUAAAUAUUGGGGGAGAGACCGAUAGCGAACAAGUACGUGANGGGAAAGAUGAAAAGACCUUGGAAAGAGAGUUAAACAGUACGUGAAUGUUUAAAAGGAAAACGAUUGAAGUCAGUCGCGUCUACUAGGACUCAGCCUUACUUUGGUUUGGUGCAUUUCCUUGUGGACGGGCCAGUGUCCAUGUCGAUUGCUGGAAAAGGUUCAGAGGAAUGUGACUCUUUUAGAGUGUUAUAGCCUCGGUUCAUAUACAGUGGUUGAUAUGGAGUGGUACAGCAUGCUUCGGUGGUGCUUGUGCUGGCAUAAUGGCUUUAAACGACCCGUCUUGAAACACGG